rnacentral:misc_RNA from 1 species
UGGUUCUGGCAUCGAUGAAGAACGCAGCGAAAUGCGAUAAGUAAUGUGAAUUGCAGAAUUCAGUGAAUCAUCGAAUCUUUGAACGCACAUUGCGCCCGCUAGCACUCUAGCGGGCAUGCCUGUUCGAGCGUCAUUUCAACCCUCGGGCCCCGUUAGGGCCCGGUGAUGGGGUCCGGCGCAGGGCAGCCCUCCGGGGCUCCCGCUGCUGUCCCCGAAAUCUAUUGGCGGUCCCGCUGUAGCCUCCUCUGCGUAGUAGAAACACCUCGCUCUGGAACUCGGCGUGGCCAUGCCGUAAAACACCCAACUUCUGAAAGGUUGACCUCGGAUCAGGUAGGAAUACCCGCUGA